rnacentral:rRNA from 1 species
AUGACGAACGCUGGCGGCGUGCUUAACACAUGCAAGUCGAACGGAGAUUAGAAGGAAGCUUGCGAAUUCUAAACUUAGUGGCGCACGGGUGAGUAACGCGUGGAUAACCUGCCUGGUAGACCGGGAUAACAGCUGGAAACGGCUGCUAAUACCGGAUACGCUUAAGGGAACGCAUGUUCUUUUAAGGAAAGCAAUCGUGCUAUCAGAUGGAUCCGCGUCCCAUUAGCUAGUUGGUGGUGUAAGGGACCACCAAGGCGACGAUGGGUAGCCGGCCUGAGAGGGCGACCGGCCACACUGGGACUGAGACACGGCCCAGACUCCUACGGGAGGCAGCAUUGGGGAAUCUUCCGCAAUGGGCGAAAGCCUGACGGAGCAACGCCGCGUGAGGGAAGAAGGCCUUCGGGUUGUAAACCUCUGUCAUCAAGGAAGAACAGAUGACGGUACUUGGAGAGGAAGCCCCGGCUAACUACGUGCCAGCAGCCGCUGUAAAACGUAGGGGGCGAGCGUUGUCCGGAAUUACUGGGCGUAAAGGGUGCGUAGGUGGUCCAUUAAGUUAGAGGUGAAAGAUCGGGGCUCAACCCCGAGAUUGCCUCUGAUACUGGUGGACUUGAGUGCAUGAGAGGGGAGCGGAAUUCCCAGUGUAGCGGUGAUUG